UUCCUGGUGGUCCAGUGGUUAAGAUGCCACACUUUCAAUGCAGGGGGCCCAGGUUCAAUCCCUGGUCAGGGAA
rnacentral:tRNA from 1 species